CCUACGGGUGGCUGCAGUGGGGAAUAUUGCACAAUGGGCGAAAGCCUGAUGCAGCAACGCCGCGUGAAGGAAGACGGUUUUCGGAUUGUAAACUUCUGUUCUUAGUGAAGAAUAAUGACGGUAAUUAAGGAUCAAGCCACGGCUAACUACGUGCCAGCAGCCGCGGUAAUCCGUAGGAGGCAAGCGUUGUCCGGAAUUACUGGGUGGAAAGGGAGCGUAGGCGGGAAGUCAAGUCAGCUGUGAAAACUACGGGCUGAACCUGUAGACUGCAGUUGAAACUGGCUUUCUUGAGUGAAGUAGAGGUUGGCGGAAUUCCGGGUGUAGCGGUGAAAUGCGUAGAUAUUCGGAGGAACACCGGUGGCGAAGGCGGCCAACUGGGCUGUAACUGACGCUGAGGCUCGAAAGUGUGGGGAGCAAACAGGAUUAGAUACCCGUGUAGUC
rnacentral:rRNA from 1 species